AUGGUAUUCAGCUUCCUGGUGCCUAAGACAGAAAUGAACGCCAAUGGGAAAAACAGGAAGCCAUCUGGAGAAAUUUUUCUUUUUUAUAAAAUUAUUGAAAAGAAGGCUCACGUGCGGUGUGGUGGCAGCAGGAGCGGCCUCGAGACGCAGAGCGACGCCGGGGAGCUAGUGGACCUGCACCUGCCGCGGACAUGCUCCGCUAGCAACCGCAUCGUCGGUGCCCAGGACCACACAUCCAUCCAGAUGAACGUGGCCGGGGUUCAUAAGGUCACAGGCAGGUUUAACGGCCAGUUUAAAACUUAUGCCCUCUGCGGGGCCAUUGGUAGGAUGGGUGAGUCAGAUGAUUCCAUUCUCCGAUUGUCCAAGGCCGAUGGCAUCGUCUCAAAGAACUUUUGACUGGAGAGAAUCACGAAUGCGGAGAGACCGGAAGA